UACGUAGGGUGCGAGCGUUAAUCGGAAUUACUGGGCGUAAAGCGUGCGCAGGCGGCUUCUCAAGUCAGGGGUGAAAGCCCAGAGCUUAACUCUGGAAUUGCCUUUGAGACUGAGAGGCUUGAGUACGGGAGAGGUGAGUGGAAUUCCCAGUGUAGAGGUGAAAUUCGUAGAUAUUGGGAAGAACACCGGUGGCGAAGGCGGCUCACUGGCCCGGUACUGACGCUGAGGUGCGAAAGCGUGGGGAGCAAACAGG
rnacentral:rRNA from 1 species